CCCUCCCCCACCCCCUCCCCCACCCUUAAGGCUGGAGCCAAGCUCGGUAGCAGCCUUGCGUUCCUGCAGGACUGGUGCACCCGGGCUUUACAACUCCAGAAAAGGGAAACGGCCCCCCAGCGCGAGUUCAUAACAUCCGCAAUAUUUUCUAUCCGCUGUCUGCGCGGCGGAAAAACAAGGUUCAGUUCUGGCUGUGUCAGGGCGUCUCCGUGUAACUGAUUCAAGCGACUUCGGGCUGCUGGGCUUCCAACACUGCACGAGGGACCUGUAAUCAGCUUGUCAUCUCAGCUCUGAGGAGCUCUGGCUGCUCAAGGUGAGAGCUAACCAUUGUCUUCACAAGGGCUGGUCCCGGCCAUCUUGUGGUGAGUUUAUCAACAUUCCCUUGUUCAGUUUUAAGUAGCUGGCACUACUGAUCACUUUCUCCACGUCAACACAGCCCCCUACCCUUUGUUUUGUUUUGAAGUGGAAGUCACUUUUCUUUCCCUAGGUGAUGUGGGCUGAAGUUCCCUGGAAAAGACACACUGAGGCUGAUCUACCCGGUGAUUGCCUGAUUAGGGCCUCCUGGUUGGGGUGAGUUGGAAUGAUACAGAUCCAGAGGCAGAUCAUCCUGAUCUAUCGAUCUAUCGAAAGUCUCCCUCCUAGCCAUUUAUUACCUGUCUAUCUGGCCUACCCUUUUUUUGACUCUCAAUUAAAAAUCUUGAGACCUCA